rnacentral:lncRNA from 1 species
GAAGGUCCAGGUCAGACUUAGAAUCUUCUCUGCCAGUCUGGUUGGUCUUGUGUCAUGGAUAAGUGGACAACGUCCUAACACAGAAGAAGGGGCAGUGACAUGCAUGUCCUGGCUUUGACUACAAGGGCCCCAGUCUAAGAAGCUGAGCUCCUACCACUGAGAGAAACUGCCUUGGGGAACCCUGCAAAAAGUGGACAGUUUGCUGGAAACAUUCUUCACCCCCAGAAAUAAAUAAGAAGUCAGCUCCUGUU